AUUUCAUGGUGUGGUCAUUGACUCAAAAGAUUCUUGAAACGAUCGAAGUACUUCUAAAAAGACUCAUCAAGUAAUUGAUAAAAUUAAUUAAUUUCAUUCCUAAAUUU